GCGAUGGACGGGGCACACGGCCAGAGGCAGCAGCCGCUGUCUCCGGCGAUCUCUGCCUCCGCGGCGCUUCCGCAGCAGCAGCGCCAGAUGCAGCUCCACCACCAGCACCACCACCCUGCGCGGUCGGCCAUCGCCGAUCUCUUCACCCUAUACCUCGGCAUGAAGUCCAAGCAGCGGGUCGAGGAUCCAACUAGGGAGACUUCGAACAAGUUGCAGAAGAGAGUAACUGCUCUGAACAGAGAUCUGCCUCCCCGAGAUGAGCAGUUCAUUUCGGAUUUUGAGCAGUUGCACGUGCAGUUUACAGACCAAGAGCAGCUUCAGGCAGUUACUGAAUCAGUUCUCAUCUCAUUUGUCCUCCAGUGUAGUAGCCACGCUCCACAAUCUGAGUUCUUGCUUUUUGCCACACGUUGCCUUUGUGCUCGAGGCCACCUUCGGUGGGACAAUCUUCUUCCUUCCCUACUUAAUGUAGUUUCUUCCAUGGAGGCACCAAUGGGGCAAGGGGUUUCUGUGACUACUGGUGCUGGUGGCCCUGCAACAUCUUCUUCGUCAGCUAUUGCAGUGCCAAAUGCUCCAAGCUUUCACCCUUCAAACCCCACAUCUCCAUUGUCAACAAUGAACACUAUAGGAUCUCCCACUCAAUCUGGUAUCGACCAACCCAUAGGUGCAAAUGUCUCACCCAUUAAAGGAGCAGAAUUCUCUAGCCCUGGACAGCUUGGUCUGGCAGCUAGAGGUGACCAGUCUCGCAGGGGAGCAGAAAUUAGUUAUCUGCAUCACUUGUCCUGUAGAAUUAUUCUAGCUGGGCUGGAGUCCGAUUUGAAGCCAGGCACCAAUGCUGUGAUAUUCCAGCAUAUGGUAAAUUGGCUGGUUAAUUGGGACCAGCGACCGCAUGGUGUGGACCCAGCUGACGUAUUGCAGACCUUGAGGCUUGAAAGACCCUUGCAUGAAUGGAUGCAUCUAUGCCUAGAUGUGAUAUGGAUUCUAGUUAAUGAAGAUAAAUGUCGUGUUCCAUUCUAUGAACUUGUCCGCAGCAACUUGCAGUUUCUUGAAAAUAUUCCUGAUGAUGAAGCACUAGUUAGUAUUAUUAUGGAGAUCCAUAGGAGGAGGGACAUGGUGUGUAUGCACAUGCAGAUGUUGGAUCAACACCUCCAUUGCCCAACAUUCGCUACUCAUCGGUUCUUGUCACAAUCAUACCCAAGCAUAGCUGGUGAAUCUGUCGCUAAUUUGCGUUAUUCUCCCAUUACUUAUCCAAGUGUAUUGGGUGAGCCGCUACAUGGAGAGGAACUUGCAAACUCGAUUCCUAAAGGGGGUUUGGACUGGGAACGUGCUUUGCGUUGCUUGAGGCAUGCACUCCGCACAACCCCAUCACCAGACUGGUGGAGGCGUGUUCUUCUUGUUGCUCCUUGUUAUAGACAACAUCCUCAACAAUCAUCAACACCAGGAGCUGUUUUCUCACCUGAUAUGAUUGGUGAGGCAGUUGCUGACAGGACAAUUGAACUACUGAGGCUCACAAACUCAGAGACUCAGUGCUGGCAAGAUUGGCUUUUAUUUGCUGAUAUUUUUUUCUUUCUAAUGAAAAGUGGCUGUAUUGAUUUUCUUGAUUUUGUGGACAAGCUUGCAUCUCGAGUAACAAAUAGUGAUCAACAGAUUCUUCGCAGUAAUCAUGUCACUUGGUUGCUCGCACAGAUUAUCCGCAUUGAGAUUGUGAUGAACACCCUUAGUUCGGACCCAAGGAAGGUUGAAACUACAAGGAAGAUAAUUUCGUUCCACAAAGAAGACAAGAGCCUUGAUCCAAAUAAUAUCAGUCCUCAAAGUAUUCUUCUUGAUUUCAUAAGUAGCAGCCAAACUUUGCGCAUUUGGUCUUUCAACACUUCAAUUAGAGAGCAUUUGAACAGUGAUCAGCUUCAGAAAGGCAAACAGAUAGAUGAGUGGUGGAAACAGAUGACCAAAGCUUCUGGGGAGAGGAUGAUAGAUUUUAUGAGCUUGGAUGAGCGGGCGAUGGGCAUGUUUUGGGUUCUGUCCUUCACCAUGGCACAACCAGCUUGUGAAGCAGUCAUGAACUGGUUUACAUCAGCUGGAGUGGCAGAUUUAAUUCAGGGACCCAAUUUGCAGCCAAAUGAAAGAAUGACGAUGAUGCGUGAAACAUACCCACUCUCUAUGUCGUUGCUUUCUGGGUUGUCUAUCAAUCUAUGUUUGAAACUUGCUUUCCAGCUUGAAGAGACCAUAUUUCUUGGCCAGAAUGUUCCUAGCAUUGCUAUGGUGGAAACCUAUGUUAGACUGCUGCUUAUAACUCCACAUUCAUUGUUCCGUCCGCAUUUUACAACAUUAACACAAAGAUCUCCAUCUAUCCUGAACAAAUCUGGUGUGUCUCUUCUCCUUCUUGAGAUACUGAAUUACAGGCUACUUCCUCUAUACAGGUAUCAUGGGAAAAGCAAGGCAUUGAUGUAUGAUGUUACAAAGAUAAUAUCAAUGAUUAAAGUCAAACGUGGAGAGCAUCGUCUUUUUAGAUUAGCAGAAAAUUUGUGCAUGAAUUUGAUUCUCUCACUAAGGGACUUCUUUUUGGUGAAAAAAGAAUUGAAGGGUCCAACUGAGUUUACUGAAACACUUAACCGCAUAACAAUAAUAAGCCUAGCUAUCACCAUGAAGACACGUGGAAUUGCUGAGGUCGAACAUAUUAUUUAUCUUCAACCAUUAUUAGAGCAAAUUAUGGCAACGAGCCAGCAUACAUGGUCAGAGAAGACACUAAGAUAUUUUCCUCCCCUUAUUCGAGAUUUUUUAAUGGGGAGGAUGGACAAGAGGGGCCAAGCUAUCCAAGCAUGGCAGCAGGCAGAGACAACUGUUAUUAAUCAAUGUAAUCAGCUACUCUCACCAUCUGCUGAGCCAACCUAUGUGAUGACAUAUUUAAGUCACAGUUUCCCUCAGCAUCGUCAAUAUCUUUGUGCUGGUGCUUGGAUGCUGAUGAACGGACAUCUAGAGAUCAACAGUGCAAAUCUUGCUCGUGUUUUGAGAGAGUUUUCACCUGAAGAUGUUACAGCAAAUAUUUAUACAAUGGUUGAUGUUCUUCUACAUCAUAUCCAACUUGAGCUGCAAAGAGGACAUCAAAUUCAGGACUUACUUUCUAAAGCAAUUACGAAUCUUGCUUUCUUUAUCUGGACACAUGAGUUACUUCCACUGGACAUUCUAUUGUUAGCACUUAUUGAUAGAGAUGAUGAUCCUUAUGCUUUACGCCUUGUGAUAAAUCUCCUUGAAAGACCGGAACUUCAGCAAAGAAUCAAAGCAUUCUGCAAUUCGCGUUCUCCAGAGCAUUGGCUAAAAAAUCAGCCUCCAAAAAGAGUUGAACUUCAGAAAGCCCUUGGUAACCAUCUCUCAUGGAAGGAACGCUACCCCCCCUUUUUCGAUGACAUUGCUGCUCGUCUGCUUCCAGUCAUACCGCUAAUAAUUUAUAGGCUUAUUGAGAAUGAUGCCACAGAUAUCGCAGACAGAGUCCUUGCAGUUUAUUCCACCUUUCUUGCCUUCCAUCCUCUAAGGUUUACAUUUGUGCGUGAUAUUCUUGCUUAUUUCUAUGGUCAUCUUCCAACCAAGCUAAUUGUUAGGAUCCUCAACGUGCUGGGUGUUAGCACUAAGACACCUUUCUCAGAAUCAUUUGCCCAAUAUCUAGCGUCAUCAAAUUCAUCUAUUUGUCCACCACCGGAAUACUUCGCCAACCUUUUGCUUGGCCUUGUUAAUAAUGUCAUUCCUCCUUUGAGCUGCAAAUCCAAAUCAAACCCGUCAGAUGCUUCAGGCAGUACAACCCGCACAACUUAUAACAAGCCUCAUACAUCUUCGGCUGGAGGAAUUAGUAACUCCGAUGGUCAGAGGGCAUUUUAUCAAAAUCAAGAUCCUGGGUCAUACACACAGCUUGUUUUGGAAACAGCAGCCAUUGAGAUUCUCUCACUUUCUGUGCCAGCUUCUCAAAUAGUGUCCUCUCUGGUUCAAAUAAUAGCACAUGUACAAGCAAUGCUCAUACAGUCCAAUAGUGGCCAUGGAAUGUCAGGAGGUUUGGGCCAAAAUUCUGGGGUUCCGAUUUCUUCAGGUGGGGGUGUUGAACCUGUUGGUGCCCGACCGAACACCACUGCAAAUGGAAUCAACACAACUAACUUUGUUUCUAGAAGUGGCUAUUCCUGCCAACAAUUGUCCGUUUUGAUGAUUCAAGCUUGUGGUCUGUUGCUGGCACAACUCCCACCAGAGUUCCACACAAUUCUAUAUGGAGAAGCAGCUCGGAUCAUAAAAGAUUGUUGGUGGCUUGCUGACAGUUCAAGGCCUGUUAAAGAGCUUGAUUCUGCUGUUGGGUAUGCGCUGCUGGAUCCUACCUGGGCUUCUCAAGACAAUACAUCUACAGCUAUAGGCAACAUCGUGGCCCUUCUUCACUCGUUUUUUAGCAAUCUUCCACAUGAAUGGCUAGAAUCUACCCACACCGUCAUCAAGCAUCUUCGGCCAGUCAAUUCAGUUGCCAUGUUAAGAAUUGCUUUCCGCAUAUUGGGUCCCUUGUUGCCUCGUCUAGCCUUUGCUCGACCUCUGUUCAUGAAGACCUUGGCUUUGCUGUUCAACGUGUUGGGGGAUGUAUUUGGGAAGAACUCUCAGGCACCUCAUGUAGAAGCAUCGGAAAUCUCAGACAUAAUUGACUUCUUACACCAUGCAGUCAUGUAUGAAGGUCAAGGAGGUCCCGUUCAGAGCACUAGCAAGCCCAAACUAGAGAUAUUGACUUUAUGUGGAAAAGUAAUGGAAAUUCUGAGGCCAGAUGUGCAACAUCUUCUAUCCCACCUGAAGACUGAUCCAAACUCUUCAGUUUACGCAGCAACUCACCCCAAGCUAGUGCAAAACCCAUCCUAGUAUUACAAGUUCAUGGAGUAGAACUGACAUAUUUCUGUUGGAAAGCUGAGGUUCUCGCUGCCUACCCAGGUUUGUCUCCCGGACCCCGGCUGCGGUAGAUGAGUACUGCAACACAGUGUUUCAUUUAUCAUGGAGGGAUCCUAAACUGUUCCUGGGCGAGUGGAUGGAGACGUGAUAAUCGGGGAUUAUCGCUAAAACCGUGUAAAUUUAAAUUUAAAAAUUCAAAAAAUAUUGAACAAUGGUGCGAUGUUGGUCUAGCAGAGAAUACUGCCUAGGAUUUUUUAUGCUGUGAAUGCCAGAGAAGAGAUAAUAUGCCGUCUAUUGAUUAACAGACAAUCUAAUAAACAACUUAAUGCCACAAACAGUCUAGUAUGCAACUUAGUAUGGCGUAUUAGACUGUCUGGUAUGCCAUAGUCAGUCUAAGGGGCUUACCCGCUGGAUCUCAAUGGAGAGAAAGAGGGGGAAGGAGAGGAAGCAGAUGGGGAGGAAUAGGAGGCUACGGGGAGGAACUCACAAAGAAGGCAGUGAGCUCCCCUAACCAUGUCGUAAAGAAAGGUCAGCAUGUACACAUUUCUUACCAUUCAAACCUAAAAAGGAAAACGAAAAGGAAGGAACCUUUGAUUCAA